ensembl:misc_RNA 7SK 7SK RNA
AAGUUCAAGGGGAGGGGGCUGCAACAUCUGCCACCCCAUUGAUCACCAGGGCUGAUUUGGCUGAUCCGGCUGGCUAGGUGGAUGUCCCCUUUCCUCCCUCACUGCCCCAUGUGAGUCACUCUUGAAGCUGCGAGCUCCGUCAGAGGAGGACCACCCCCGAGAGGGGACAAUUUUCUCCGUCAAGGCUAUAUAAGUAGUUUCACUCCCCUGCUGGACCCUCCAAAUAAGCUCUCAAAAGUUCAAGACCUGGGCAGAGAUUUAACUCAGUGGUGCUGCACCUGCCU